ACGGGAGGUAGCAGUGGGGAAUAUUGCACAAUGGGGGAAACCCUGAUGCAGCGACGCCGCGUGAGUGAAGAAGUAUUUCGGUAUGUAAAGCUCUAUCAGCAGGAAAGAAAAUGACGGUACCUGACUAAGAAGCCCCGGCUAACUACGUGCCAGCAGCCGCGGUAAUACGUAGGGGGCAAGCGUUAUCCGGAUUUACUGGGUGUAAAGGGGGCGUAGACGGCUUUGCAAGUCUGAAGUGAAAGCCCGGGGCUCAACCCCGGAACUGCUUUGGAAACUGUAGAGCUAGAGUGCAGGAGAUGUAAGUGGAAUUCCUAUUGUAGCGGUGAAAUGCGUAGAUAUUAGGAGGAACACCAGUGGCGAAGGCGGCUUACUGGACUGUAACUGACGUUGAGGCUCGAAGGCGUGGGGAGCAAACAGGAUUAGAUACCCUGGUA
rnacentral:rRNA from 1 species